UCUCAGUGAUGUGGUUCCAGUAGAUCCUUCGGACCCUCCACUGUGGACUCAAUAGCGGGGAGCGGAUGAGGACCGCGGCUGAGAGA
ensembl:snoRNA SNORD62 Small nucleolar RNA SNORD62